rnacentral:tRNA from 1 species
GCUCAAUAGUUAAACAUAUAACUGUAAAUUGCAAAUUUUCUAUUGCGUUAGGGCGCUUGGGCA